AUGCAGGAAAUCGUUUGUGGAUGUACGGGCAAAGCAGGGGUGGAGAACACGAGAUCGUGCCGAUGCGAAUGCCCAGCAUUAAUAAGGUUGCUCUAUUUGAAGGACAAUGGUUGGUACAUAUCUGAACAUCGUGAACAACACAAUCAUUCGCUAUCUCCAACAUAUGGGCACACGAUUCACUGGCCGUCCCACAAUCACAUUGAUGCCUAUAGCAGAGACUUGGUAGAGCAGUUACGGCAGAACAAUGUGAAUUUAGCCAAAGUACACAGUAUAAUUGGGAGCUUUUUUGGUUCAAUGGAAAAGGUGCCUUUCACAAAAAGGGCUCUG
rnacentral:rRNA from 1 species